CACCUUCUAAGAGUUCUUGGGCACAUUC
rnacentral:piRNA from 1 species